rnacentral:rRNA from 1 species
UACGUAGGGAGCAAGCGUUGUCCGGAAUCAUUGGGCGUAAAGCGCGCGUAGGUGGCCCCAUAAGUCCGCUGUGAAAGUCCAAGGCUCAACCUUUGAAAGCCGGUGGAUACUGUGGGACUAGAGUACGGAAGAGGCGAGUGGAAUUCCUGGUGUAGCGGUGGAAUGCGCAGAUAUCAGGAGGAACACCAAUAGCGAAGGCAGCUCGCUGGGACGUUACUGACACUGAGGCGCGAAAGCGUGGGGAGCGAACAGG